rnacentral:misc_RNA from 1 species
UGAUCUUGAAGGAACAAGCAUGUGAAAUUUGAAGAAAAAGGAAGAAAGUUAAAUCUUGUCAAUUAAGAGUUCAUAUUUCCAGCUGUAAAUGAGAAAGUAACCGAAACUUUCAGCCAAACUUUAUGGGUCAUUUCAGCCAAAGUUCCAUUCCUUACCAUCAACGGAUGCUACUUGGGAGAACAGAAGUUAUAUUCAGUCCAAUUUCAUGAAUUUUCACAUUAAUAGAUCUAGAAAUAUGUGUAAUAGAUGG